CCCUCGCUUCUCCCGUGUGUUUCGUUUCCUCCGGUGCGCCCUCACGUCACUAGCGAAAUCUGCUCCCCCUGCCCAGCCCCCCACCCGCGCUGCACGUCGCGCGAGAUGCAAUCUGCUGCAGCCAGGCUGCUCGCCGCGGCCUUGCCUCGCCGCCUCCCGCCGCGCUGCCCGCGCGCCCACCUCCUCCUGCGCGGGCGCGGCCUCUGCUCCGCACCGCCCGGACAGCCGAAUCCACGCCCUGACCCAGGCCCCAGCCCCGACCCGGACCCACAGCUCGUCGGCGCGCUCUGCCGCGUGCUGAGCGACUUCCGCGGCCCGCGGCACGACCUCCGCGCAGCGCUCCACGGCUUCGUACCCCGCCUCACCCCUGCGGCGGCGGCCGCCGUCCUCCGCCGCUGCCGCAACCUGCCCGUGCCCUCGCUCCGGUUCUUCCUCUUCGCCGCCGCGGUGCCGGGCUUCACCCACCUCCCGGACUCGCUCCUCGUCCUUGCCGGCUCGCUCGCGGGCGCGCGGCUCUUCCCGCUGCUGCGCUCCCUGCUCUCCGACCUCCCGCGCUCCGCGCUCUCGCGGGACCUGUUCCCGCUGCUGUUCCGCGCGUACGCCCGUGCCGGCCUCCCCGACGACGCCAUCCGGGCUUUCUCUUCCAUGGAGGGGUUCGGGUUCCCGCCAACAGUCGCCGAUCUCCACUCCCUGCUCUUUGCGUUGUCGCAUAAUGGCCUGGUAGAGCAUGCCGAGGCCUUCUUUAGGGAUUCAGCAACACAGUUCGGUCUCUCGGCAAAAACCUACACCAUCCUCAUCUCUGGCUGGGCUGUGGUCACAAAGCCGGAGAAUGCGCGUAAGCUGUUUUGCGAAAUGAUUGAGAGAGGCAUUGUGCCUGAUGUGCCCGCAUAUAACGCAUUGAUUGAUGCCUUGUGUCGAGGAGGGGAUGUCGCUCUUGCACAUGUACAGCUAAAAGACAUGCAACACCGCCAUAAGCUUGUUCCUGAUGCUGCCACUUAUGGCCCGUUCCUUCGUUCUGCAUGCGCUUCAAAGGAUGCUCGUGCUGCUCUUCGUGUGCUAGAUAGGAUGCGUAUACAUGACCUGACACCAAAUGUAUUCACAUAUAAUGCUAUCAUCCAGUUACUGUGCGAGUUGGGAGAGGUUGAUGAGGCUUAUAAUAUCCUUAAUGAGAUGGCAACCCGUGGGCAAAUGCCUGAUAUUUGGAGCUACAACACUCUGCUUAAUGCACAUUGUAAGCUGAAAGAGGUGAACAAGGCGCUACGUCUUAUUUCAAGGAUGGAUGAAGACUCAUGUCUGCCUGACCGGCACUCUUACAACAUGAUUCUGAAAAUGUUGGUUUCUGUAGGAAGAGUUGAUAGGGCAAUUGAGGUUUGGGAUGGAAUGGAAAAACGUGGUUUCCAUCCUGGGGCAGCAACUUAUGCUGUCAUGAUUCAUGGGCUAUCUUGCAAGAAGGGUAGAGCAGAGGAGGCCUGCAGCUACUUUUUGAGGAUGGUGGAUGAGGGUAUCCCACCUUACCAGGCUACUUGUCAAGUGCUGAGGGAUAGGCUGCUCAGGCUUGGGCUGCGAGAUGAUCUCGGGAUGCUCACUGAUAGGAUGAGACAGAGCACUUCCUGCACAAUACAAGAUUUGGCAAGUAUCAUGUGCAGUAAGAGAGCAGAAGAAACUAGAAAUAUGAAUAGUGACCAUGAAUUCUCUGGUGUUGACCUUGAUGAGAGUCAGUGGAGGGAGAAAUGGAAAAUAGGAGACUGAAGAGUAAAAAUACUAACAUGGAUUCAGAGCCGUCAUCACAGAACCCAGCAGAUAUGACUGCAUUUGUGCAAAAUCUCCUUGGACAAAUGCAAACAAGGUUUGAGUCCAUGUCGCAGAACAUUGUGUCAAAGAUAGAUGAAAUGGGAACCAAGAUCGACGAGCUGGAGCAGAGCAUCAAUGAUCUGAAAGCUGAGAUGGGCACGGAGAUGCCUGCCAAGAAGCCUGAUGAGGCGAAGCCUGCUGAUUCUGCUUAACUUGGCUGUGAUCCAGAUACUGGCAAGUGAAAACUUGAACACUUUGUGACAGAUUUUUAGAGUUAUGAGUAAUUCAUUGUCUUCCAUGGACCAUAUCCACAGCAUGAGUGUACUGUCAGCUAUGUAGACUGGAGCCAUCUUAUGAAAUACUGUAUCCAUAGUUUGGGCACUCAGCUCUCUAUAUUUGUGCAAAUUCCUUGGUGUUUUCCCCCCUGUGACCACUCACCAACUAUUUGUUUGGUUUUCUAGUUGUUGAUGAUAAGGUGAUGUGCGAAAUGUAUUCCUUUUUA